rnacentral:rRNA from 1 species
GAUGAACGCUAGCGGGAGGCCUAAUACAUGCAAGUCGAACGGUAACAGGGUAGCAAUACCGCUGACGAGUGGCGCACGGGUGAGUAACACGUACACAACCUGCCGAAUACGGGAGCAUAGCCUCGGGAAACUGAGAUUAGCUCUCCAUAAUGUUAUGAAGCGGCAUCGCUUUAUAACUAAAACUCCGGUGGUAUUCGAUGGGUGUGCGUCUGAUUAGCUAGUUGGCGGGGUAACGGCCCACCAAGGCAACGAUCAGUAACUGGUCUGAGAGGAUGAUCAGUCACACGGGCACUGAGACACGGGCCCGACUCCUACGGGAGGCAGCAGUAGGGAAUAUUGGACAAUGGGCGCAAGCCUGAUCCAGCCAUCCCGCGUGAAGGAUUAAGGCCCUCUGGGUUGUAAACUUCUUUUCUCUGGGAAUAAAAACCGGUAUUCAUACUGGCUUGAAGGUACCAGAGGAAUAAGCACCGGCUAACUCCGUGCCAGCCGCCGCGGUAACAC